CCUCGGCAUACUGCUCAGUAACACGUGGAUAACCUGCCCUGCGGUGGGAAAUAACCCCGGGAAACUGGGGAUAAUGUCCCAUAGGCUACGGAUGCUGGAAUGCUCUGUAGCUCAAAGAUUUAUCGCCACAGGAUGGGUCUGCGGCCGAUUAGGUAGUUGUUGGGGUAACGGCCCAACAAGCCUUUGAUCGGUACGGGUUGUGGGAGCAAGAGCCCGGAGAUGGAUUCUGAGACACGAAUCCAGGCCCUACGGGGCGCAGCAGGCGCGAAAACUUUACAAUGCGGGAAACCGUGAUAAGGGAACUCCGAGUGUCCGUAAAUGCGGACUGUCCGUAUGUUUAAAAAGCAUGCGAAGAAAGGGCCGGGCAAGACCGGUGCCAGCCGCCGCGGUAAUACCGGCGGCUCGAGUGGUGGCCACUAUUACUGGGCUUAAAGCGUUCGUAGCUGGAUUGUUAAGUCUCUUGGGAAAUCUACCGGCUUAACCGAUAGGCGUCCAAGGGAUACUGGCAAUCUAGGGACCGGGAGAGGUGAGGGGUACUUCAGGGGUAGGAGUGAAAUCCUGUAAUCCUUGGGGGACCACCUGUGGCGAAGGCGCCUCACCAGAACGGCUCCGACAGUGAGGGACGAAAGCUGGGGGAGCAAACCGGAUUAGAUACCCGGGUAGUCCCAGCCGUAAACGAUGCGCGUUAGGUGUAUCGAUGACCACGAGUCAUCGAGGUGCCGAAGGGAAACCGUGAAACGCGCCGCCUGGGAAGUACGGUCGCAAGGCUGAAACUUAAAGGAAUUGGCGGGGGGAGCACCA
rnacentral:rRNA from 1 species